rnacentral:rRNA from 1 species
AGAGUUUGAUCCUGGCUCAGGAUGAACGCUAGCGGCAGGCCUAAUACAUGCAAGUCGUACGGUAGAGGUCCUUUCGGGGACCUUGAGAGUGGCGCACGGGUGCGUAACGCGUAUGCAACCUACCUUUUACAGGGGGAUAGCCCGGGGAAACCCGGAUUAAUACCCCAUGGUAUCCGGCGGCGGCAUCGUCGCCGGCUUAAAGAUUUAUCGGUAAAAGACGGGCAUGCGUGGGAUUAGCUAGUCGGUGGGGUAACGGCCCACCGAGGCGACGAUCCCUAGGGGUUCUGAGAGGAAGGUCCCCCACACUGGCACUGAGAUACGGGCCAGACUCCUACGGGAGGCAGCAGUAGGGAAUAUUGGGCAAUGGGCGGGAGCCUGACCCAGCCAUGCCGCGUGCAGGAAGACGGCCUAUUGGGUUGUAAACUGCUUUUAUACAGGAAGAAAAGGCCCAUGCGUGGGACAUUGCCGGUACCGUAUGAAUAAGCACCGGCUAACUCCGUGCCAGCAGCCGCGGUAAUACGGAGGGUGCGAGCGUUGUCCGGAUUUAUUGGGUUUAAAGGGUGCGUAGGCGGCCCGUUAAGUCAGCGGUGAAAGGUCCCGGCUCAACCGGGGGACUGCCGUUGAUACUGGCGGGCUUGAGUUUCGGAGGGGUACAUGGAAUUUAUGGUGUAGCGGUGAAAUGCAUAGAUACCAUAAGGAACACCGAUAGCGUAGGCAUUGUACCGGCCGGAAACUGACGCUGAGGCACGAAAGCGUGGGUAGCGAACAGGAUUAGAUACCCUGGUAGUCCACGCCGUAAACGAUGAUCACUCGCUGUUUGCCCUAUAUGGGCAAGCGGCCAAGCGAAAGCGUUAAGUGAUCCACCUGGGGAGUACGCCGGCAACGGUGAAACUCAAAGGAAUUGACGG